GGCGCGGAUGUGGCGAGGCUGCUGAACGCAGGUUCCGCGGUAUGGCGGGGACGGCGUUGAAGAGGCUGAUGGCCGAGUAUAAGCGUGAGUCAGGCGGCGCCGCCUUCCUGUCCUCUUCCCCAUAGUCGCCCGCGGCGUGGCCCGGCAUGGCUCGGCUCGGUGCGGUGCGGUGCGGGGGUACUGGGCCGGGCUGCGAGAUUCCGCGUGCGGAUAAAAGGCCAGGCUGUCGCCGUCACCUGCGCACCCCAGCCAGCGGCAGCGGGGCUGGCCCUGGGCUCAGAAGCCGGCCGGGGCAGCGCCGCCGUGGCCCUGCCACCCGGGUCUGGUCCCUAAGCCCCUGUGUGCUGCGCAUCUGCCCUCCCGACAGUUGAUGCUGCGGGGCGAGUACCGGGUAAUCCCCGUAAGGUGGUCGAGCCGUCGAGGGGAGUUGGGGGAGAAAGUUAAAAAUAAACAAGAUAACGCCUCAAACCCCCGGCCACGCCGCAGGUGCGAGUUGCUGGGGAAAACCAAAGUUUCUCGGACACGGGCUCCGGACAGUUUCCUUGGAUCCGGAUCUGUUUUUCUCUCUGUUUUACUUUUUCAGCUCUGUGUCUAGAUUGAGACACAUCCCCUUUAUCUAAAAAAGAGGGAACAGCAUUUAAGCUCCGGGACAGGGGUUUAAGUUUUGACCACUUCUACCCAAGGGUAUUCACAUUAGAGAAAAACUUAUCCGCCACAAAAAGCCUCUACUCGUACGUCAGACAAAACGUAUUGUCACUUAAUUUGAAGUUAAGGUUGUGAAUCAUCUCCGUGUGAGAGAGAGAAGGAAUUUGGUUAAAGAGGGAACUCUAAAAUAGGAAGGCUGGCGAGGGGCUCAGGGGGUUCACAGAGGAGAAGGACUCCACCUGCUGUGGCUUCUUGGAAGAGGAAAAAAAAGGGCAGGGAGCUAAGGGUGGCCCCAGGCUGACAGCUAGUCUGGGACCAGUGUUACAGCCAUACGGAACUGAGUUGUGCCAGCGACUUGAAUGGACUUGGGUUGCAGCCCUGAAACAACCAGCUGUCUCGGCUGGGCCCAAGCCCACAUGGAAACCAUGAGGUCAUCAAUGGAUAUUGUUUAAGCCUGUGGCAGCAGUGAUGGAAAUGCAUCCAGCAGUACAAAGCACGAGGAGCGAGGGAGGGAGGGAGGUUUUUUCCGUGUCCUUGUGAAUUCAAUAAAAGUCCCACUGAGUGUUUUUCUUCCUUU
rnacentral:lncRNA from 1 species